GAGGGUAUAGCUAAGUGGCAAAGUGCCUGCUUAGCAUGCGUGAGGUCCUGUGUUCAAUCCCCAGUACUUACU
rnacentral:tRNA from 1 species